ensembl:lincRNA
GGCGAGCAAGUAGGGUCACUUACGACACAGCCUUUUCCAACUAUAUCUGUCUGGAGGGAAGGUGCUCAUUAGACCAGGAGCGUGUCCUUCCCCGGAAUCAGGGCUGGAAUAAACUAGAAAUUGGUGCAAUUUUACUUUCGGUUUACUCUGUACAGUAAAUAUAUCUUUUUUUUAUAUCAGGGUGCCUGGCAGAAAAUACAAUUGAUUUGGCCAAAACCUUCAAAUAGAUUUGGAAGACAUGGAUUAAAGAGUUAUGCAGUCAUUGUGUAACAUUUUGGGAAAAUCACCAACCCUUUAGAUGAAAAGCUCCAAGCCUGAAGCAUGUGACCUCUGCCUGAUCCAACCAGUGUAUUCCACUCUCCUGGCCAUAAACGAUUGUUUCAGGAUGUGCCAAUCAGGACCAGCAAGUCUCAGUUCCAUGGUGUUUAUCAGAGAAGACUCCCCUUUCCCAUAGGAUCUGGAAUUGGCCACCUUGAGAUCAUGAAGGAAGAGGCUGUCUAAAACGGACUCAUCAUGGAAAAGAGUGUGGCAAAGAGACAGUCAGAAACCAUGUUCUGGUUCACGGUCAACCCCUGACCUCAGGCUGCCACUGGAGUUUUCCUUGUAUGAACUGAUAAAUCCCCCUUUAUCUGAAAUCAGUGUGGUUGCACUUUUCUACUAUUUGUAGAAGAAAGAAUCCUAAGUGAAACACUUACCAAUGUUUUGUGUACUUGAUAAAUAGAAAGACUAAUGGGUGUGUCAUGUUUUCUCCAAACAAAUGUGACCUUUUCCUCCUAUGAAUUUUGUUUAAUAUAUUCUAUGUCUAUGCUACUUGGGUUUUCUCGUGUGUGUGAUUCUUUACCUAUACUUUGUAUUUUUCUUAACAAUUAGAAAUGUGUCUUUUGUCUUGUUGACUUAUUUUUGCCUCAGUUGCUACUUUGUUACUGAUACUGUCCACCUGACUUUGUUUGGAUUUGCCUGAUAUCUUUGCCUCCCUGUUAUUUCACCUUAUCUGUCCUAUCCACCACUGUAUCUCUGAGGUCUAGCGCCAUGAGGAUGCUCAGUAAAUAUUUCUGGAAUAAUCACGUGGGG